AUUGAACGCUGGCGACAGGCUUAACACAUGCAAGUCGAGCGGAGAUGAGGUGCUUGCACCUUAUCUUAGCGGCGGACGGGUGAGUAAUGCUUAGGAAUCUGCCUAUUAGUGGGGGACAACAUUCCGAAAGGAAUGCUGAUACCGCAUACGCCCUACGGGGGAAAGCAGGGGAUCUUCGGGCCUUGCGCUAAUAGAUGAGCCUAAAUCGGAUUAGCUAGUUGGUGGGGUAAAGGCCUACCAAGGCGACGAUCUGUAGCGGGUCUGAGAGGAUGAUCCGCCACACUGGGACUGAGACACGGCCCAGACUCCUACGGGAGGCAGCAGUGGGGAAUAUUGGACAAUGGGCGGAAGCCUGAUCCAGCCAUGCCGCGUGUGUGAAGAAGGCCUUUUGGUUGUAAAGCACUUUAAGCGAGAAGGAGGCUACCUGGAUUAAUACUCUAGGAUAGUGGACGUUACUCGCAGAAUAAGCACCGGCUAACUCUGUGCCAGCAGCCGCCGCAGUAA
rnacentral:rRNA from 1 species